rnacentral:rRNA from 1 species
CCUACGGGAGGCAGCAGUAGGGAAUAUUGCUCAAUGGGGGAAACCCUGAUGCAGCAACGCCGCGUGGAGGAUGAAGUUUUUCGGAUUGUAAACUCCUUUUGUUAGAGAAGAUAAUGACGGUAUCUAACGAAUAAGCACCGGCUAACUCCGUGCCAGCAGCCGCGGUAAUACGGAGGGGGCAAGCGUUACUCGGAAUCACUGGGCGUAAAGAGCGCGUAGGCGGGAUAGCAAGUCAGAUGUGAAAUCCUAGGGCUUAACCAUAGAACUACAUUUGAAACUGUUAAUCUAGAGUAUGGGAGAGGUGAAUGGAAUUCUUGGUGUAGCGGUAAAAUGCGUAGAGAUCGAGAAGAACACUAGCUGCGAAGGCGACCCGCUAGAACGUAACUGACGCUGAGGCACGAAAGCGUGGGGAGCAAACAGGAUUAGAUACCCUAGUAGUC